UACAGAGGGGGCAAGCGUUGUUCGGAAUUACUGGGCGUAAAGGGUUUGUAGGUGGCUUGUUAAGUCAGACGUGAAAUCCCUCAGCUUAACUGGGGAACUGCGUCUGAUACUGGCGAGCUUGAGUGCAGGAGAGGAACGCGGAAUUCCAGGUGUAGCGGUGAAAUGCGUAGAUAUCGGGAGGAACACCAGUGGCGAAGGCGGCGAUCUGGGAACAUACUGACGCUGAGGUGCGAAAGCGUGGGGAGCAAACAGG
rnacentral:rRNA from 1 species